GUUAGGAAUAUUGGACAAUGGGCGAAAGCCUGAUCCAGCCAUGCCGCGUGAACGAUGAAGGCCUUCGGGUUGUAAAGUUCUUUAGCCGAUGAUUAUAAUGACUGUAGUCGGAAAAUAAGCCCCGGCUAACUUCGUGCCAGCAGCCGUGGUAAUACGAAGGGGGCGAGCGUUAUUCGGAAUCACUGGGCGUAAAGCGUGCGUAGGCGGUUUUGUAAGUUAGGAGUGAAAGCCCAGGGCUCAACCUUGGAAUUGCUCUUAAAACUGCAAGGCUCGAAUCUCGGAGAGGAUAGCGGAAUUUCCAGUGUAGCAGUGAAAUGCGUAGAUAUUGGAAGGAACACCAGUGGCGUAAGCGGCUAUCUGGACGAGUAUUGACGCUGAGGCACGAAAGCGUGGGGAUCAAACAGGAUUAGAAACCCUGGUAGUCC
rnacentral:rRNA from 1 species